CCACCCUCUUUGUGUUGCCAGGCAGUCAUGCUGGGCACGAAGCUGAAGCUGCAGCCAGAGCGGGGUAUUGAAAAGAUUCCUCAUUGGGAUAUGAAAAUCACUAGGAAUAAGGGAAGAGAUUGGCCAGUGUGACUUAAAUCAAUAACUUCUGUGCCACCAAGGACAUCUGUGAGAGCCAUAAGGCAGCUCCCAGACCCAGAAGCACUGCUUACUGCCCACCUCUUACAACUCUGCAUCUUGAGCAUUAAAACACUCGCAUAAGAUGCCCCAGCAAAUACACCCAGAAGACAAGCCAGUCUGCACGUGGGCAGGACCCAGGCCGCACUCCGCAGAGCACCUGAGCAACUGCUCAGCAUCAGCCCGUCGGGGAGAUGCAAACGAACCAUGAAGAAAGAUCCCCAUCCCGGCCAGCCACCGUCCCAGACCGGCACGGUGGGAUGGCUCAGAACCAGAGCAGCGGGAAGGUGCACUGCGUGUGCCACGGCAGCUACGGAGAUGAUCAUGGAAGUUUCCAGUGAUCUGUGAUGGUGAACAUGAUGAAUGGUUUGAAAUUUGGAACCAGCCUCACACCUCUAUAUUAAGCCCAACCGGACCCUGUGUAGUAAGUACCCUUGUAUACAAUGUGCUGUCUGGGGUUCGAUUCUUUUUUGUUUUUUGAGGGGAGGGGGUCUUGUUGCUUUGUUUGUUUUAC